rnacentral:lncRNA from 1 species
AGUAAGCGGCGCGAGCGUGCGAGUUUCUGACGCGCCCGCGUCGUCCCAGCUCCCUGGACUACCAGUAUUGUCGCCCACGUGGGCUUCUCUUUCGUCCGCUCAGGCCUCACUUUUCUCCGUAAACACCCCGGCACGAUGGAGCGGCCCCAGCGUUCGGGAGCGGCCCGGGAGCGGAAAGCGGCAGUGUCCUGGGAGCCUCGAAAGCCGCAGGGGCGGCAGCUCGCCUCGGAAUGACCUCUGACGGAAGAAAUAAAACGGGGCCUGGGACGCUUGCACGAAAGAACCCGACAAAAACCAGAGCCCGCACUCACUCUCGUACUGGGGAGGUGGACUUCAGGGAGGGUUAUCUGGAGGAGGAAUCUCUCAAAGUACAACACAGGAGAAAGACAGUAUCGCAAUACAGAAAUUUUAUUUUUUAUUUUAUUAUUAUUUUCCUGAGACCGGAGUCUCGCUCUGUCGCCCAGGCUGGAGUGCAGUGGCGCGAUCUCGGCUCACUGCAAACUCCGCCUCCCGGGUUCACGCCAUUCGGCUGCCUCACCCUCCACAGUAGCUGGGACUACAAGCGCCCGCCACCACGCCCGGCUAAUUUGCAAUACGGAAAUUUUAAUAGCCUCAGCUUCCACGGAAUCCAUGCCCACAUCUUCAUAAUCCUCCAGAGCUGCCAGAUCCUCGCGGGCCUCGGAGAAUUCCCCCACUGCCAUGCCCUCCCCCACGUACCAGUGCACUAAGGCGCACUUGGCCGAACUUAUGGUCCAGGCAGGCCCAGGCCUCCGUGAUGGCCGUGGUGUUGCUCAGCAUGCACACCGCCCGCUGCACUUUGGCCAGGUCUCCCACAGGGACCACCGUGGGGGGCUGGUAGUUAAUGCCCACCUGUCAGAGAUGGGCAGCAUAGAAUGAAGUUUAUAUUGGCCUCAGAAAUGGGAGCUCAUUAAAAAUCAGAGCUGUGGACCAGUUC